UACAUGCAAGUCGAGCGAGCGGACGAGAAGCUUGCUUCUCUGAUGUUAGCGGCGGACGGGUGAGUCACACGUGGAUAACCUACCUAUAAGACUGGGAUAACUUCGGGAAACCGGAGCUAAUACCGGAUAAUAUUUUGAACCGCAUGGUUCAAAAGUGAAAGACGGUCUUGCUGUCACUUAUAGAUGGAUCCGCGCUGCAUUAGCUAGUUGGUAAGGUAACGGCUUACCAAGGCAACGAUGCAUAGCCGACCUGAGAGGGUGAUCGGCCACACUGGAACUGAGACACGGUCCAGACUCCUACGGGAGGCAGCAGUAGGGAAUCUUCCGCAAUGGGCGAAAGCCUGACGGAGCAACGCCGCGUGAGUGAUGAAGGUCUUCGGAUCGUAAAACUCUGUUAUUAGGGAAGAACAUAUGUGUAAGUAACUGUGCACAUCUUGACGGUACCUAAUCAGAAAGCCACGGCUAACUACGUGCCAGCAGCCGCGGUAAUACGUAGGUGGCAAGCGUUAUCCGGAAUUAUUGGGCGUAAAGCGCGCGUAGGCGGUUUUUUAAGUCUGAUGUGAAAGCCCACGGCUCAACCGUGGAGGGUCAUUGGAAACUGGAAAACUUGAGUGCAGAAGAGGAAAGUGGAAUUCCAUGUGUAGCGGUGAAAUGCGCAGAGAUAUGGAGGAACACCAGUGGCGAAGGCGACUUUCUGGUCUGUAACUGACGCUGAUGUGCGAAAGCGUGGGGAUCAAACAGGAUUAGAUAGCCUGGUAGUCCACGCCGUAAACGAUGAGUGCUAAGUGUUAGGGGGUUUCCGCCCCUUAGUGCUGCAGCUAAC
rnacentral:rRNA from 1 species